rnacentral:rRNA from 1 species
GACGAACGCUGGCGGCGUGCUUAACACAUGCAAGUCGAACGAAAGGACGGGAAGAGCUUGCUCUUUCCGGAAUUGAGUGGCAAACGGGUGAGUAACACGUAAACAACCUGCCUUCAGGAUGGGGACAACAGACGGAAACGACUGCUAAUACCGAAUAAGUUCCAAGAGCCGCAUGGCCCAUGGAAGAAAAGGUGGCCUCUACCUGUAAGCUAUCGCCUGAAGAGGGGUUUGCGUCUGAUUAGCUGGUUGGAGGGGUAACGGCCCACCAAGGCGACGAUCAGUAGCCGGUCUGAGAGGAUGAACGGCCACACUGGAACUGAGACACGGUCCAGACUCCUACGGGAGGCAGCAGUGGGGAAUCUUCCGCAAUGGGCGAAAGCCUGACGGAGCAACGCCGCGUGAGUGAUGACGGCCUCGG